GCAUUAGCUGUACGACGCCCCAAUCGUCCUUUGUCAAAGCCCCAUGAUCCACCUUUCGCCAUAACAAAAGGACGUUGGCAUCCAAUCAGGAUUGAGGCUGUUGUGGGCGGGUCCGGUAAAAGCAACAGCCAAUGACAGUACAGGAGCGAAGUUAAGCGUGAGAAAGCCAGUCCAAAGAAAGCCGCUCUUCAGUCUCAGCAGGGGUCGGAGAAAUUGCGGUCAGAAAGCCAGUAUGGAAAAUUCUGACAGCUGUCAGGAAGGAGGUUAUUGAAUUCAUUGGAGAACGAGUGCUGUCCUAAAUUUGGAAUUCGAUAAUGGAGGAACCCAACCAAGUAGAACGGGUUGCACAUCAGCUUGACUUGAUAGUUCAUGUGGCAAGGAUGAACAGAUGCUUCUCAGAGCCAGCAAAACAGCAACUGGGUAAAUAUAGGAGGAUGACGCAUCAAGCCCCGCGUGGACGUGCCCCCACGAGCGCGCAUGCACAGACAAGCCUGCAAGCCGUGCACCACCACGUGGCCCUCAGCCUCCAGGAACUGAUGCUCAGGCUCCUCCAGCCAGAAACUCCUAAUGGAACGGGGCGUCCUCCGAGAAGCCUGGGAGGGGGCCGCGAGGGCGGUCGUGCCCUCAGCUCCUUGGAGCAUCGUCAGCGGUCGCCCUCUGUCGUCCCUGGCUAUAUAUAGACCUGCUGCCUGCAGCGCACCUCGUGUCUUUGUGAAUGAAAUCCCGAACGUCCUUCCCGGCUCUGUCAGAGCAGCAGGGGCGUUUGAAAGUUUUGAAAAUGAGUGGGGGAAAUAGAGCAGGUGUUUUGUUUUGCUCAUUGUGAAAGGCAGACACCGAUUUGGAAGGUUUCAAGGUAGGGAACGUGAGCCAAACUGAGGACAGCCAAUUUUUUUUUAAUUACCAGCACAAUUAGCAGCCUGGCUCAACAACAAACCUGUUUUGUCAAGCUCUGUUUCAGGAUUAGGGCGUUGCGGCAAUAGUACCAAACAGGUGAACGGAGCAGUGAUUAUAUCCCACUCU